GAAUGAACAUCAAACUAGGUUGGUCAGCCACGGUCAUAAGUCGUGGACUAUUAUUGUGAAGGCCUGCCAGCAUGAGGCCUCAUUAAGAAUGAACAUCAAACUAGGUUGAUCAGCCACGGUCAUAAGUCGUGGACUAUUAUUGUGAAGGCCUGCCAGCAUGAGGCCUCAUUAAGUGAAUGAAUGUCAAAGUAGCUUGGCCAGCCACUGUCCUAAGUCGUGGACUAUUAUUGUGAAGGACUGCCAGUACGAGGCUUCUAAUAGUGAAUGAACGUCAAACUAGUUGUGGAUGCCUGCCAGCAUGAUGCUUCAUAAAAUAUGCCACCCCGGGGAUCGCUUGAAGAAUGCCGCUUUAACCCCAACAAGCAAUGAAAUACUUGUGUAAUUGUGAGCAUGAAAUGGGGUCAAAUAAAUUCCAAAUGUUUUUCCUACUUUU